AACUGCGAGCGUCGAGGUAGGACAUUGAGGCAGCGUGUUGCCUGUGGUCCCGAGCCCCCUUGCAUUAAGGUCUCUGUGACUUACCUACCGCGUUAUGGCGUAUGAAAAAUAUUGGUGUAAAAUAUAAUACAGUGUAUGUUUGUAGCUUGUGAAUAGUUGUAGAUGUAUCGCAACAAUUGUUAGAAAAUGUAUUUAACUAUGAAUUUAUCGAAAGGGUACAUGUUUUUUUGAAAACUAGAAAGGAAAAAACUUUUAGGGGUGACAGCCGCUGGUGUAGCAUCACACACUGGGAUGACGUCACUCAGGAGCUAUGGCGUGAAGGCAGUGCUGUGGGGGGUGAUGGUGGCAGUGUGUGUUAUAGAAGUCGACGGAGGAACAGAAGCAGAGAUCUUAGGGCAUUAGACAGGCAGCAGCAGGAGGAUCGUGGGGUUAUGUGCCUCUCAGUGGUCCUACAUCGACCUUCAU